rnacentral:rRNA from 1 species
GACGAACGCUGGCGGCGUGCCUAAUACAUGCAAGUUGAGCGCUGAAGGUUGGUACUUGUACCAACUGGAUGAGCAGCGAACGGGUGAGUAACGCGUGGGGAAUCUGCCUUUGAGCGGGGGACAACAUUUGGAAACGAAUGCUAAUACCGCAUAAAAACUUUAAACACAAGUUUUAAGUUUGAAAGAUGCAAUUGCAUCACUCAAAGAUGAUCCCACGUUGUAUUAGCUAGUUGGUGAGGUAAAGGCUCACCAAGGCGAUGAUACAUAGCCGACCUGAGAGGGUGAUCGGCCACAUUGGGACUGAGACACGGCCCAAACUCCUACGGGAGGCAGCAGUAGGGAAUCUUCGGCAAUGGACGAAAGUCUGACCGAGCAACGCCGCGUGAGUGAAGAAGGGUUUCGGAUCGUAAAACUCUGUUGGUAGAGAAGAACGUUGGUGAGAGUGGAAAGCUCAUCAAGUGACGGUAACUACACAGAAAGGGACGGCUAACUACGUG